AUACUCUGGUUACUCUUCAGCUCAUAUAUCUCUUUUAUCUUUUGCUAAAUAUUUCCAUGAAGGGGAAACAUUGUGAGUUUUAACCCAAAGUUUUGAGGCCCUAUAUCUGCAGGGCU
ensembl:snRNA U5 U5 spliceosomal RNA